rfam:Vitis vinifera, whole genome shotgun sequence of line PN40024, unoriented chromosome 8, chr8
AAUCCAUGAUGAGGGCAUUCUGUGACCAUCUCCUUGAAUCUUUCCUAACAUGCAAAAAAUUUCUCAUCCUUCAUUGCCUUGAAAUUUGAGAUCUCAUUUUUCAAUGC